rnacentral:rRNA from 1 species
CCUACGGGAGGCAGCAGUAAGGAAUAUUGGUCAAUGGGCGCAAGCCUGAACCAGCCAUGCCGCGUGCAGGAAGACGGCCCUAUGGGUUGUAAACUGCUUUUGAACAAGAGAAAACCUCGGUACGUGUACCGAGCUGAUAGUAUUGUUAGAAUAAGCAUCGGCUAACUUCGUGCCAGCAGCCGCGGUAAGACGAAGGAUGCAAGCGUUAUCCGGAUUCAUUGGGUUUAAAGGGUGCGUAGGUGGCCUGAUAAGUCAGUGGUGAAAUCUCUCAGCUUAACUGAGAAACUGCCAUUGAUACUGUCGGGCUUGAGUACAGAUGAUGUGGGCGGAAUAUGACAUGUAGUGGUGAAAUACUUAGAUAUGUCAUAGAACACCGAUUGCGAAGGCAGCUCACAAAACUGUAACUGACGCUGAGGCACGAAAGUGCGGGGAUCAAACAGGAUUAGAUACCCUGGUAGUCCGCACCGUAAACGAUGAUUACUCGUUGUUGGCAAUAUGACCGUCAGCGACGACGACGAAGACGAGUAAGUAAUACCGACCGUACGGGAGGUACGGACCGGACCGAACGGUACGAAACGUAACGAAACGGAAAGUUAGUACGGACGUUAGGAGACGCGGACGACGGACGACGACGAGGGGAGGAGG